GAGACUUCCGGUAGAGGUGUCCUCUUAGUCGCGCCCCACGCUUGGGUGUGUAAAGAAUGUGACCCGCAUAUCCGCGCAUUCGUCGUUGCAGCGAGCUUCGUGGGUACAAAAGGAUCGUUGGCUCAUAUAAGAAGCCGCCAUGAGAAACCUGUUGUCCUGCUACGUCUUGCUGUUGCUUGCAGGCGAGCUGGUUCGCUCUCAAGAGCCUGCAAGUUGCCUGGACCGGAGAGUUCUGCUGAAUACUGGAAAGGAAUAUCUCAGGUCUUUGGUAGCUAAGCUUAUACCAAAGUACGUCAAGGACUACAUAACUGGCCUGCCCCAAGAAGAAUUCAAAGGCAUGCGGGAGAUCCAGGACUAUCCGUAGCUUUUCUUGCUCCUUGUUCUUCACAUUCUCAUAUAUAUGACGACAAGCUGCUAAAUAAAUUGGUAGAAAGAAAGCUAACGCGGUUUCUGUUUACACCGGCUUCACCGCGGUUCAGUAAGAGCCACGAAGCCUGGCGUAUAGUGCUCGAACGUUCCCUUCCGGCGUAACAGUGUCACGCGAAAAAUAGUCGCACUCGUGCAGAAAUGAUGGCCGAUGGAGAUACGUAACGGCCAAUGUACGUAUAGCAUCAUAUAAAAAAAAACACUUAGCGGUUUGUUAAGUCAAACAUUCCUUUUAUGGUAAACACGUUGAUUUAUGAGCAUAUUAAAAAC